rnacentral:rRNA from 3 species
AUUGAACGCUGGCGGCAGGCCUAACACAUGCAAGUCGAGCGGCAGCGGGAAAGUAGCUUGCUACUUUUGCCGGCGAGCGGCGGACGGGUGAGUAAUGCCUGGGGAUCUGCCCAGUCGAGGGGGAUAACUACUGGAAACGGUAGCUAAUACCGCAUGCGCCCUACGGGGGAAAGCAGGGGACCUUCGGGCCUUGCGCGAUUGGAUGAACCCAGGUGGGAUUAGCUAGUUGGUGAGGUAAUGGCUCACCAAGGCGACGAUCCCUAGCUGGUCUGAGAGGAUGAUCAGCCACACUGGAACUGAGACACGGUCCAGACUCCUACGGGAGGCAGCAGUGGGGAAUAUUGCACAAUGGGGGAAACCCUGAUGCAGCCAUGCCGCGUGUGUGAAGAAGGCCUUCGGGUUGUAAAGCACUUUCAGCGAGGAGGAAAGGUUGGUAGCUAAUAACUGCCAGCUGUGACGUACUCGCAG